AUUGAACGCUGGCGGCAGGCCUAACACAUGCAAGUCGGACGGUAGCACAGAGGAGCUUGCUCCUCGGGUGACGAGUGGCGGACGGGUGAGUAAUGUCUGGGGAUCUGCCCGAUAGAGGGGGAUAACCACUGGAAACGGUGGCUAAUACCGCAUAACGCCGCAAGACCAAAGAGGGGGACCUUCGGGCCUCUCACUAUCGGAUGAACCCAGAUGGGAUUAGCUAGUAGGCGGGGUAAUGGCCCACCUAGGCGACGAUCCCUAGCUGGUCUGAGAGGAUGACCAGCCACACUGGAACUGAGACACGGUCCAGACUCCUACGGGAGGCAGCAGUGGGGAAUAUUGCACAAUGGGCGCAAGCCUGAUGCAGCCAUGCCGCGUGUAUGAAGAAGGCCUUCGGGUUGUAAAGUACUUUCAGCGGGGAGGAAGGCGAUAAGGUUACUAACCUUGUCGAUUGACGUUACCCGCAGAAGAAGCACCGGCUAACUCCGUGCCAGCAGCCGCAGUAA
rnacentral:rRNA from 1 species